CGGUGUUUAACUGGCGUGAUGUGGGACGUCCUACCGGUGGGCUUAGCCUCGCGAGGGGCGGCCCAACUAAUAUCCCGUCGCGGUGCUCUUUACUGAGUGUCGAGUCGGGCCGGUACGUUUACUUUGAACAAAUUAGAGUGCUUAAAGCAGGCUAUCCUCGCCUGAAUACUGCGUGCAUGGAAUAAUGGAAUAGGACCUCGGUUCUAUUUUGUUGGGUUUUCGGAACCCCCGAGGUAAUGAUUAAUAGGGACAGAUGGGGGCAUUCGUAUUGCGACGUUAGAGGUGAAAUUCUUGGAUCGUCGCAAGACGGACAGAACCGAAAGCAUUUGCCAAAAAUGUUUUCAUUAAUCAAGAACGAAAGUUAGAGGUUCGAAGGCGAUCAGAUACCGCCCUAGUUCUAACCAUAAACGAUGCCAGCUAGCGAUCCGCCGAAGUUCCUCCGAUGACUCGGCGGGCAGCUUCCGGGAAACCAAAGCUUUUGGGUUCCGGGGGAAGUAUGGUUGCAAAGCUGAAACUUAAAGGAAUUGACGGAAGGGCACCACCAGGAGUGGAGCCCGCGGCUUAAUUUGACUCAACACGGGAAACCUCACCAGGCCCAGACACCGGAAGGAUUGACAGAUUGAUAGCUCUUUCUUGAUUCGGUGGGUGGUGGUGCAUGGCCGUUCUUAGUUGGUGGAGCGAUUUGUCUGGUUAAUUCCGAUAACGAACGAGACUCUAGCCUGCUAUAUAGGCGUACCUUAUGGUAUCGCGAAGGCCCCCGGCUUCGGCCGGUGGGUUUUUACUACCAACGUACAAACAAAUCUUCUUAGAGGGACAGGCGG
rnacentral:rRNA from 1 species